CGGACGGGUGAGUAACGCGUGGGUAACCUGCCUUGUACAGGGGGACAACAGUUAGAAAUGACUGCUAAUACCGCAUAAGCGCACAGUAUCGCAUGAUACAGUGUGAAAAACUCCGGUGGUACAAGAUGGACCCGCGUCUGAUUAGCUAGUUGGUAAGGUAACGGCUUACCAAGGCGACGAUCAGUAGCCGACCUGAGAGGGUGACCGGCCACAUUGGGACUGAGACACGGCCCAA
rnacentral:rRNA from 1 species